UACAAAGGGGGCUAGCGUUGUUCGGAAUUACUGGGCGUAAAGGGCUCGUAGGCGGCCAACUAAGUCAGACGUGAAAUCCCUCGGCUUAACCGGGGAACUGCGUCUGAUACUGGAUGGCUUGAAUCCGGGAGAGGGAUGCGGAAUUCCAGGUGUAGCGGUGAAAUGCGUAGAUAUCUGGAGGAACACCGGUGGCGAAGGCGGCAUCCUGGACCGGCAUUGACGCUGAGGAGCGAAAGCCAGGGGAGCAAACGGG
rnacentral:rRNA from 1 species